ensembl:lncRNA
GGUAGAGAUUCCAAACUAUAGCUUGUUCUUGGCAUAAGAUCAAAUGUCACAUAUUGGAUGCUCAUCACAUGUGAAAUACCAGGAUGCCAACUGCUUUUCAUUUAGCCAAGCACCACAUUGGCCCUGUCCCAGAAGCUGGGGACACAUUCAGUACUCAUUCAGAAUUCACAGCCUUUGUUCUUCUGGUAAGAGUGCAUUGCCAAACAAGAAUGCAAUCAACUGCAGACUUCUGCCUAUUCCUUAAAGGCUGGUCCGGCCCGGUUCCGUGACUAGUGGAGUGGAGGGAUUUCGCAAAAUCUGCGCCUCCAGGAAGGGAAACAGGGGACCCCAAAAUAAUUAAAAACAGCGGCAACGAUCUGAGGAGAAACAAACUAAUUUACUAAAUAUAGUAUCGGAAUGUAAGAUAACACACUAUAAUACAAUAUAAAUCAACAAUAAUUGAGAGAAAGAUUGUCUGAGAGCCAAAGGCCUUACGCUAAUACUGAAGCCUUGCAUGCAGUCGGGAACAGCAGUAGUGAGCCUAUCCAACAGGGAACACGGCGAGACGAGAAGAGGGCCGAGUCAGAUGACCUGCACCCUUAUAUCUGUUCCCCUAAGCAGGAAUGAUAACAGUACUCGAAAAGUCUCUUGGGGACCAUAGUUCUUCUUCUCUUCCAGACAGGUAUCCGGACCUAAAGCAUUUGCUCUUUAACUCCCAGUACACUGCAUGAUGUUGUGAUGUGGAAUACUGAUAACCAAAAAUCAUAAAACCAUGACAUUAUCAUAUGAAAUACACAAUUUAAAAUAAAAAGUAUGGUGUUUU